rnacentral:pre_miRNA from 1 species
UUCUUACUCCCUCCGAUCCUAAAUUGUUGUCAAAAUAUUACAUGUAUCUAGACACCUUUUAAGAAAAGAUACAUCCAUAUUUGGUCAAAUUUGAGAUAAUAAUUUAGGAUCGGAGGGAGUAUUAU